CGGAGGGAUCAUUACCGAGUUUACAACUCCCAAACACAAUGUGAACCAUACCAAACUGUUGCCUCGGCGGGGUCACGCCCCGGGUGCGUCGCAGCCCCGGAACCAGGCGCCCGCCGGAGGGACCAACCAAACUCUUUCUGUAGUCCCCUCGCGGACGUUAUUUCUUACAGCUCUGAGCAAAAAUUCAAAAUGAAUCAAAACUUUCAACAACGGAUCUCUUGGUUCUGGCAUCGAUGAAGAACGCAGCGAAAUGCGAUAAGUAAUGUGAAUUGCAGAAUUCAGUGAAUCAUCGAAUCUUUGAACGCACAUUGCGCCCGCCAGUAUUCUGGCGGGCAUGCCUGUCCGAGCGUCAUUUCAACCCUCGAACCCCUCCGGGGGGUCGGCGUUGGGGAUCGGGAACCCCUAAGACGGGAUCCCGGCCCCGAAAUACAGUGGCGGUCUCGCCGCAGCCUCUCCUGCGCAGUAGUUUGCACAACUCGCACCGGGAGCGCGGCGCGUCCACGUCCGUAAAACACCCAACUUCUGAAAUGUUGACCUCGGAUCAGGUAGAAUACCCGCUGAACUUAAGCAUA
rnacentral:rRNA from 1 species